UACAUCAAAAUUGAUUUAUGUCGAAACAUUGGUUAGAAUCUGUUUCUAAUAAAGUCCCAUUGGUGCGCGUCACAAAUUAGACUGACGGCAGCAGGCACUUUCCUUCGUGAGAGUCCUGCAAAUUCAGCAACUAGCCAAAUGCCUCGUCAUCUAAUUAGUGACGCGUAUGAAUGGAUCAACAAGAUUCCUUCUGUCCCUAUCUACUAUCUAGCGAAACCACAGCCAAGGGAACGGGCUUGGCAAAAUCAGCGGGGAAAGAAGACCCUGUUGAGCUUGACUCUAGUCUGACUCUGUGAA
rnacentral:ncRNA from 1 species